GAGCUACUCCUUCCGUUCCGAAUUACUGUCUUGAAUUUGUCUAGAUAUGGAUGUAUCUAAACUUAUUUUAGUGCUAGAUACCUCUGUAUGUAGACAAAACGAAGACUAAGUAAUUUGGAAUGGAGGGAGUAGUAU
rfam:Triticum aestivum genome assembly, contig: Triticum_aestivum_CS42_TGACv1_scaffold_392521_5AS